AACUUUCGACAACGGAUCUCUUGGCUCUCGCAUCGAUGAAGAACGCAGCGAAAAGCGAUAAGUAAUGUGAAUUGCAGAAUUCAGUGAAUCAUCGAAUCUUUGAACGCACCUUGCGCUCCUUGGUAUUCCGAGGAGCAUGCCUGUUUGAGUGUCAUUAAUAUAAUCAACCUUUUCUUGUUUUGCGAAUGGUUUGGAUGUGGGGGUUUGCUGGCCUCUCUCAAAAGGUUCAGCUCCUCUGAAAUGCAUUAGCAGAACAGCCUUUGCUCAUUGGUGUGAUAACUAUCUACGCUUAUGAAUACGGAGGGGCAGUUCAGCUUUCUAACGGUCUUUGGACAAUUCAUCAUUAAUGUGACCUCAAAUCAGGUAGGACUACCCGCUGAACUUAAGCAUAUCAAUAAGCGGAGGCU
rnacentral:misc_RNA from 1 species